rnacentral:rRNA from 1 species
AGCGAACGCUAGCGGCGGGCCUAACACAUGCAAGUCGAGCGGAGAGCUUCGGUUCUUAGCGGCGGACGGGUGAGUAACGCGUAGGUAAUGUGCCUUCUGGUGGGGAACAACCGUGCGAAAGCAUGGCUAAUACUGCAUAUGUCGAGAGAUGAAAGCCCUCGGGCGCCAGUAGAGCAGCCUGCGUCCCAUUAUUUAGUCCUAGUUGGUGAGGUAACGGCUCACCAAGGGUACGAUGGGUAGCUGGUCUGAGAGGAUGAUCAGCCACACUGGAACUGAGACACGGUCCAGACUCCUACGGGAGGCAGCAGUGGGGAAUAUUGCGCAAUGGGCGAAAGCCUGACGCAGCCACGCCGCGUGAGUGAUGAAGGCC